rnacentral:rRNA from 1 species
ACGUACACUCCUACGGGAGGCAGCAGUGAGGAAUAUUGGACAAUGGGUGGAAGCCUGAUCCAGCCAUCCCGCGUGCAGGAAGACGGCCCUAUGGGUUGUAAACUGCUUUUAUCUGGGGAUAAACCUACUUACGUGUAAGUAGCUGAAGGUACCAGAAGAAUAAGCACCGGCUAACUCCGUGCCAGCAGCCGCGGUAAUACGGAGGGUGCAAGCGUUAUCCGGAUUUAUUGGGUUUAAAGGGUCCGUAGGCGGACUGAUAAGUCAGUGGUGAAAUCCGACAGCUUAACUGUCGAACUGCCAUCGAUACUGUUAGUCUUGAGUAAGGUUGAAGUGGCUGGAAUAAGUAGUGUAGCGGUGAAAUGCAUAGAUAUUACUUAGAACACCAAUUGCGAAGGCAGGUCACUAAGUCGUAACUGACGCUGAUGGACGAAAGCGUGGGGAGCGAACAGGAUUAGAAACCCCAGUAGUCCCAUG